rnacentral:rRNA from 1 species
UUUGACCUCGGAUCAGGUAGGGAUACCCGCUGAACUUAAGCAUAUCAAUAAGCGGAGGAAAAGAAACCAACAGGGAUUGCCUCAGUAACGGCGAGUGAAGCGGCAACAGCUCAAAUUUGAAAUCUGGCUCUUUCAGGGUCCGAGUUGUAAUUUGUAGAAGAUGCUUCGGGUGUGGCUCCGGUCUAAGUUCCUUGGAACAGGACGUCAUAGAGGGUGAGAAUCCCGUAUGUGACUGGUUGCCUUCGCCCAUGUGAAGCUCUUUCGACGAGUCGAGUUGUUUGGGAAUGCAGCUCAAAAUGGGUGGUAUAUUUCAUCUAAAGCUAAAUAUUGGCCAGAGACCGAUAGCGCACAAGUAGAGUGAUCGAAAGAUGAAAAGCACUUUGGAAAGAGAGUUAAACAGUACGUGAAAUUGUUGAAAGGGAAGCGCUUGCAACCAGACUUGCGCGUAGUUGAUCAUCCGGGGUUCUCCCCGGUGCACUCGAUUGCGCUCAGGCCAGCAUCGGUUUGGGUGGUUGGAUAAAGGCCUUGGGAAUGUAGCUUCUUUCGGGGAGUGUUAUAGCCCUCGGUGCAAUGCAGCCUACCCGGACCGAGGACCGCGCUUCGGCUAGGAUGCUGGCGUAAUGGUUGUAAGCGACCCGUCUUGAAACACGGACCAAGGAGUCUAACAUUUAUGCGAGUGUUUGGGUGUUAAACCCAUACGCGUAAUGAAAGUGAACGGAGGUGAGAACCCUUAAGGGUGCAUCAUCGACCGAUCCUGAUGUCUUCGGAUGGAUUUGAGUAAGAGCAUAACUGUUGGGACCCGAAAGAUGGUGAACUAUGCCUGAAUAGGGUGAAGCCAGAGGAAACUCUGGUGGAGGCGCGCAGCGGUUCUGACGUGCAAAUCGAUCGUCAAAUUUGGGUAUAGGGGCGAAAG